UCAACUGAGAAGGAGAGGGGUGUGCCUCUAAGAAACAGGGUUUGAAAGAUGGGACUGUUUGGCUGCAGGAAUACAAGCUCAUAGCUCCCACUGAUUCUACAUGAUGGUCAGGACCCCUGUUCCCUAUAAAACCCAGACGAAGAACUGUAUCCACGCAACUCAGAGGCGGUCCCUGGAGAGCAUCCCGUGUGGCUUCUGUUCUGAAACGACCACAAGCGCCCAGGAAACUCACCAGGCUCCGACACCCAGGUUUGGCCAAAGUCACAAGAGAGCCACGGAUAUACCCAGCCAUUCCCAAGAAGGGAACGCUGUAGAAGUGGGGGCGCAGGGCAGUUGCAAGCCUGUAUGGCAGAAAG